rnacentral:piRNA from 1 species
AAAUUUUAGUGAAUGUGGAACUGG